rnacentral:tRNA from 1 species
UAUUAAGUGACUGAAAGAAAGUAAUGGUCUCUUAAACCAAUUUAUGGUAAUUAUCAUCUACCCUUAAUAA